rnacentral:lncRNA from 1 species
ACUGUUCAGACUUGACUCGUGAUUGGCUGCUGCGCUUCAGCGUGUUAUUACUGUCUGAUUUGAUCGGAGGCAGGGGGUGGUCUCCAAUCAAACAGAGAAAAGGUCCUGGAGAAGAUGUAUCUUUAAAGCUGUCCUGCUGAAUUGGAAGUCCCUGGAGGGCAGAACUGGCACCCUGUUCAAUCUGGAAUGCCCAGAAAUUCAAUCAACAGAAGUCAGUAUUGAUUUCACACCCUCCUGGACCCCUAUUUGAGUCUCUGUGUGGUGGCCCCUCUCCCCGGAAGUGAAGUCUUCCAGACUAUGACCAUCAUGAGCCAUCUUUUCCCAAUUGAGUACUCGAAAGAAGAAAACUGGGCUAGAGAAACAGGAUCUCGGAUGAUUAUAAUUGAAGAGUGUCUAUUGCUCCAGAGCCACAAUCUAUGAGCUAGAAGACAGCUGGGACAGCAAAUUCUUGACUCGCUUAUCAUCAUGUUCCCUUUCCAUGGUCAGCCCAGACUCUGGGCUCCAUCACAACACACUAGUCUGUUCAGCAUGGAGUACCUUUUUUGCCUCUUCUAGUCCAGCCAUCCAGGCAAAUCAAUCAAUACACUAAUUUUAAACACAGAAAACCUAAAGGACACUUAAAUGUAAUUUUAUCAAGAGGAAGGAGAAAAUUGAUUUUGUACAUGCCCAACCUCUGUCUUAACUGAUACAAAGAUUUCAAAGGAACAAUGUUCAAUUUUAAGUGGCAAUUCAUAAGUGACCCAUCGUGUCAAGCUGGAGAGCAGGAGGGACACCCAGCUUUUUAAAGCGAGCUUAUCAAUCACUGUAUCCCGAAUAAGCAUCUUCAUCCCAGCUACAGAAAAUAGAAGGCUGUAGAAAAGAACAGGAGGCUAGCCAUGCUUUCAACCUUAUUUUAAAGUAAUUAUAUGAAAAAAGUCUGUGUUUAUAAACUAAUAAAUUAUACACUUUUAAAAUGUU